UUUAAAGGGUGCGUAGGUUGUUCGGUAAGUCAGCGGUGAAACCUGAGCGCUCAACGUUCAGCCUGCCGUUGAAACUGCCCGGGCUUGAGUUCAGUGGCGGCAGGCGGAAUUCGUGGUGUAGCGGUGAAAUGCAUAGAUAUCACGAGGAACUCCGAUUGCGAAGGCAGCUUGCCAUACUGCGACUGACACUGAAGCACGAAGGCGUGGGUAUCAAACAGGAUUAGAUACCCUGGUAGUCCACGCAGUAAACGAUGAUUACUAGGAGUUUGCGAUAUACCGUCAAGCUUCCACAGCGAAAGCGUUAAGUAAUCCACCUGGGGAGUACGCCGGCAACGGUGAAACUCAAAGGAAUUGACGGGGGCCCGCACAAGCGGAGGAACAUGUGGUUUAAUUCGAUGAUACGCGAGGAACCUUACCCGGGAUUGAAAUGUAGAUGACGGAUGGUGAAAACCGUCUUCCCUUCGGGGCUUCUAUGUAGGUGCUGCAUGGUUGUCGUCAGCUCGUGCCGUGAGGUGUCGGCUUAAGUGCCAUAACGAGCGCAACCCACAUCGGUAGUUGCUAACAGUUUUCGCUGAGGACUCUACCGAGACUGCCGUCGUAAGGCGCGAGGAAGGUGUGGAUGACGUCAAAUCAGCACGGCCCUUACAUCCGGGGCGACACACGUGUUACAAUGGGAGGGACAAAGGGCAGCUACCGGGCGACCGGAUGCGAAUCUCUAAACCCUUCCCCAGUUCGGAUCGGAGUCUGCAACUCGACUCCGUGAAGCUGGAUUCGCUAGUAAUCGCGCAUCAGCCAUGGCGCGGUGAAUACGUUCCCGGGCCUUGUCCUCUCCCCCGUCAAGCCAUGGGAGUCGGGGGUACCUGAAGGGCGUAACCGCAAGGGCGCAACUAGGGUAAACCCCGACGCCAC
rnacentral:rRNA from 1 species